CCCUUAGAUGUUCUGGGCCGCACGCGCGCUACACUGACGAAGUCAGCGAGCAUGUCCUACGCCGACAGGUGCGGGGAAUCUUGUCAAACUUCGUCGUGAUGGGGAUUGAUUAUUGAAAUUCUUGAUCAUCAACGAGGAAUUCCUAGUAAGCGCAAGUCAGCAGCUUGCGUUGGUUACGUCCCUGCCCUUUGUACACACCGCCCGUCGCUACUACCGAUUGAAUGGUUUAGUGAGAUCUUCGGAUUGGCGCCACUGCGGCUCAGCAAUGGGCUCGGUGGAUGCCGAAAAGUUGAUCAAACUUGAUCAUUUAGAGGAAGUAAAAGUCGUAACA
rnacentral:rRNA from 1 species